CCUACGGGUGGCAGCAGUGAGGAAUAUUGGUCAAUGGACGAAAGUCUGAACCAGCCAAGUAGCGUGAAGGAUGACUGCCCUCUGGGUUGUAAACUUCUUUUAUAUGGGAAUAAAAUGUUCCACGUGUGGGAUUUUGUAUGUACCAUAUGAAAAAGGAUCGGCUAACUCCGUGCCAGCAGCCGCGGUAAUACGGAGGAUCCGAGCGUUAUCCGGAUUUAUUGGGUUUAAAGGGAGCGUAGGUGGAUUGUUAAGUUAGGUGUGAAAGUUUGCGGGUCAACCGUAGAAUUGCAGUUGAAACUGGCAGUCUUGAGAGCAGUAGAGGUAGGCGGAAUUCGUGGUGUAGCGGUGAAAUGCUUAGAUAUCACGAAGAACUCCGAUUGCGAAGGCAGUUCACUGGCCUGCAACUGACGCUGAGGCACGAAAGUGUGGGUAUCGAACAGGAUUAGAUACCCCAGUAGUC
rnacentral:rRNA from 1 species